UCCGCAGGUUCACCUACGGAAACCUUGUUAC
rnacentral:rRNA from 1 species